rnacentral:rRNA from 2 species
UACGGAGGGUGCAAGCGUUGCUCGGAUUUACUGGGCGUAAAGCGUACGCAGGCGGCCUUGUAAGAGAGAUGUGAAAGCCCUCGGCUCAACCGAGGAAUAGCAUUUCUGACUGCAAAGCUUGAGUACGGGAGAGGGUCGCGGAAUUCCUGGUGUAGAGGUGAAAUUCGUAGAUAUCAGGAGGAACACCGGCGGCGAAGGCGGCGACCUGGCCCGAUACUGACGCUCAUGUACGAAAGCGUGGGGAGCAAACAGG